rnacentral:rRNA from 1 species
CUUGGUCAUUUAGAGGAAGUAAAAGUCGUAACAAGGUCUCCGUAGGUGAACCUGCGGAGGGAUCAUUACAAGUGACCCCGGUCUAACCACCGGGAUGUUCAUAACCCUUUGUUGUCCGACUCUGUUGCCUCCGGGGCGACCCUGCCUUCGGGCGGGGGCUCCGGGUGGACACUUCAAACUCUUGCGUAACUUUGCAGUCUGAGUAAACUUAAUUAAUAAAUUAGAACUUUUAACAACGGAUCUCUUGGUUCUGGCAUCGAUGAAGAACGCAGCGAAAUGCGAUAAGUAAUGUGAAUUGCAGAAUUCAGUGAAUCAUCGAAUCUUUGAACGCACAUUGCGCCCCCUGGUAUUCCGGGGGGCAUGCCUGUUCGAGCGUCAUUUCACCACUCAAGCCUCGCUUGGUAUUGGGCAACGCGGUCCGCCGCGUGCCUCAAAUCGACCGGCUGGGUCUUCUGUCCCCUAAGCGUUGUGGAAACUAUUCGCUAAAGGGUGUUCGGGAGGCUACGCCGUAAAACAACCCCAUUUCUAAGGUUGACCUCGGAUCAGGUAGGGAUACCCGCUGAACUUAAGCAUAUCAAUAAGCGGAGGA